rnacentral:rRNA from 1 species
GGACCCGCACAAGUAGUGGAGCAUGUGGUUUAAUUCGAAGAUACGCGCAGAACCUUACCAACACUUGACAUGUUCGUCGCGACUUUAAGAGAUUAAAGUUUUCGGUUCGGCCGGACGAAACACAGGUGCUGCAUGGCUGUCGUCAGCUCGUGUCGUGAGAUGUUGGGUUAAGUCCCGCAACGAGCGCAACCCACGUCUUUAGUUGCCAGCAUUUAGUUGGGCACUCUAGAGAGACUGCCGGUGAUAAACCGGAGGAAGGUGUGGAUGACGUCAAGUCAUCAUGCCCCUUACAUCCUGGGCUACACACGUACUACAAUGCUACGGACAAAGGGCUGCAAGUUCGCGAGGACAAGCAAAUCCCAUAAACCGUGGCUCAGUUCAGAUCGUAGGCUGCAACUCGCCUACGUGAAGGCGGAAUCGCUAGUAAUCGCAGGUC